rnacentral:rRNA from 1 species
UGCAAGUCGAACGAGAAAGCCUUACUUUCGGGUGGGCGAGUAAAGUGGCGCACGGGUGAGUAACGCGUAGAUGAUCUACCCUUGAGUUCGGGACAACCUUGCGAAAGCGGGGCUAAUACCGGAUACGAUCUUACGGGAUGAAAGUUGGCCGCUCGAGGAAGCUAACGCUCGGGGAUGAGUCUGCGUCCUAUCAGCUAGUUGGUAGGGUAAAGGCCUACCAAGGCGACGACGGGUAGCUGGUCUGAGAGGAUGAUCAGCCACACUGGCACUGGAACACGGGCCAGACUCCUACGGGAGGCAGCAGUGAGGAAUUUUGCGCAAUGGGGGAAACCCUGACGCAGCAACGCCGCGUGGGUGAUGAAGGCCUUCGGGUCGUAAAGCCCUGUCAGGUGGGAAGAAUAGCUUGAGGAUUAAUAAGCCUCAAGUGUGACGGUACCGCUAGAGGAAGCACCGGCUAACUCCGUGCCAGCAGCCGCGGUAAUACGGAGGGUGCGAGCGUUAUUCGGAAUUACUGGGCGUAAAGCGCGUGUAGGCGGGAAGGCAAGUCUGACGUGAAAGCCCCGGGCUUAACCCGGGAAGGGCAUUGGAAACUGCUUUCCUUGAGUUCCGGAGAGGAUGGGGGAAUUCCCGGUGUAGAGGUGAAAUUCGUAGAGAUCGGGAGGAAUACCAGUGGCGAAGGCGCCCAUCUGGACGGUAACUGACGCUGAGACGCGAAAGCGUGGGGAGCAAACAGGAUUAGAUACCCUGGUAGUCCACGCUGUAAACGAUGAGCACUAGGUGUAGCGGGUAAUCAUUCCUGCUGUGCCGCAGCUAACGCGUUAAGUGCUCCGCCUGGGGACUACGGUCGCAAGACUAAAACUCAAAGGAAUUGACGGGGGCUCGCACAAGCGGUGGAGCAUGUGGUUUAUUCGACGCAACGCGAAGAAC